rnacentral:SRP_RNA from 1 species
UCGUGCUAGACGAGGAGUUGGCGGUUCCCUGUAACCCGAAAUCCGCCUAUGCGGGGUCGAAAAGGCAUCAUGAGUUUUGCCCGGGGCGAAUCAGGUCCGGGGUGUAUGGCAGCAAUGAAGGCUGGGUCUUGCGAUGGCUGUUGCCGCCAACCCCGCCAGGACCGGAAGGUAGCAACGGUACGCGGACUGGCAGUCAGUCGCGAGGCAGCCUGGCUGGAGCUGUCAUCCCUCUGACCCUCUCCCCGGCAUUGCGAAGAUGCUGCACGG